rnacentral:lncRNA from 1 species
UUUGGGGAAUGGAAGUUAUUUUAAAACAUCUAGUGAACAUCCUACCAGAAAACUUCUUUACAGUUUGGUGAGGGUCUGGAGUAUGCUGGAGAAUAGGGAUGGAUGAAGAAGGAGCCAAAAGCUGGGUUUCCUGAAAAGCAGAUGCUGACAAGACAGUAUGCAAAAGAUUAAGUAAGAUGGUUCCUUGGGGUCAACACCUGUGGAAGGGAAGGAAAGGAAGCAGGAUUGUUUAAAGCAAGAAAUUUGGGCUGUGAUGCAGUCCCAGUAAAAUUCGCAGUUGACCCCACAAGAAGUUCUGGUGCUGGCAUGAUUCUUCAGAGUUGUACAGGUUGGAGGUAGAGGGCCAAAGUUUUAUACCCCAUAUGAACUAGUUGUUGGAUGACCCUCAUCCCCAAGAAGUGGACAUAACCUUGGACAAGAUGGAUCUCUUCAAUUCCUGGAAGGGUUGACAGCUGAGAGCUUUGCACCAGCAUCAUUCCCACUAGCUGGAUGUGCAUGCCCUUCCAAUGCAUAAUAUUACCUAUGAUACUCUCCUGUGGGAUUUAUCUCUUUGUAUCAUCAAUGCAAAAUACUUAUUUUAAGAGUUUCUAACAUCACUGCAUUUAGCUUUAGAAAAUUGUACCAUCACUGUCAUAUUUCUCAACUGUCUCUUCAAGGACAUGGGGGUCAUAUCAUUCUGGGUCUUUUCUUUCUUGGCUUCCAUUAGAAAUGCAGAAAUCUCUGAUUGGCAAGAACGGCCACAUGGCUAGCAAAGAGGUCAUACCAAAAGUUUCUUUAAGGCAUUACUUAAUGUUCAUGCAAAGAGGGCAAAGUUUUGGAGACCAUGUUACAUUUGUGUAAGCUCCAUUAGUAACAAGCCUGGAUCCUGAAUGCUACUUCAGGGAUAGAUAGCUCUGUGCUCUAUGGAAAGUCUGUGUCAGCACACAUAAUGAAAACGGAAGCAAAACUGUUCAUAAAUAGAUUAUGAAGCCAGAAAAUCUGUAGUGGUCAAAGAGAAACAAUUGUUUGAAGUUACCUAAGCCCAGCCAAAAGUCUGUUGCUAGCCACUCUCUGGAAAUGCAAUACCUCUUCCAUCUCCUCCAGCCUCCCACUUAUCACAGUGCAGUUGCAUCUUUCUGUUGGUCUAGGGUUUCUAAUUGAGCAUUAAUCAGUUUACAUUUCUAUCAUGGAGAUGCAGAGAUGUCUGUAGGUGUAUCAGAAGAAAGAACCCUUGAUAGACUGUGUAGGUGAACUCCCUUUCCCUACAUAGGGUCCAGGAAGAAAUUACCUAUAAUUUGUAACAGUGCAGCCUGGGAUCACCUGAAUCAUCUCCUCACAUGUGAAAAUAAAAAUCAAUACAGGGAAGAGACUGGGAAUCAGGGUAACAGGAAACAGGAAGAACUCUAAGCCUGCACUGCAGUGGAAACUCCAUGAGAGCAGCACUUUGUCGUGGACACCAAGUCCCCAGUGCCUCACACAGUACCUACAACAAAGGAGGUGCUCAGCAAGUGCUUCAUGGCCAAGGCGAAGGAAGUCAAAUGAAAUCACUUUAUGGAUCUCAAAACACCAGUGAGCCCUCUCACCACCAGACCCCGUACUGAAGUGCUCCUGAGAGGAGAAGCCCCCCAUGGCUGCUGAGCAUCUGGCAUCAAAAGGAGGGCUAAUGAUGCCCUCUAGCGCAAAGUAGCUCCUGGUUCAGUAGCAGUCAUUUAACAGAUGCUGCUUCCUCUGUUGGUUUUGCCCCCAGCCCACUAGAAGUCUCAUGAACGGUUACUUAAUGAGCUAAAACCCACUCCCUAGGUAAGGGAAGCAGAAAAGAUAGAUGUUGUUGCACCAGUUUCAGAUCUCCAGUGAGUGGCGUACCACUGCUCAGAUGGACAUAUUUAAUGAAGGACUUUUAAAGCAGUGUUUGCCAAACUGUCAUCUCCAGGCUACCUGCACUGGCAUCACCUGGAUGGCAGCUAACAAUUCAAAUUCCCAGGCCCCACUACCAGAGAUUUGUGUAAGAAAAGGUCCCAGACAAGGCCAAGGAAUCUACAUUAACAAGCAUCCUAAAAAAUCACAAGCACACUAAAGUUUAUGAACCCUGAUUCCAAAAUAAAUUUAUUUCCUUCCUGCUCCCUGAGAGUUUCAAAACAUCAGGUCUUUACUCACAUUGGAAAGUAGGGUAUUCCCUGAAAAGCACAGUCAAAAUAAAGCACUGA